rnacentral:rRNA from 1 species
ACGGGGUGCAGCAGGCGCGAAAACUUCACACUUGGGGGGAACCCCGAUGAGGAAAUCCUAGUGCUAGGACAUUUGUUCUAGCUUUUCUCAAGCGUAGAUAACUUGAGGAAUAAGGGCUGGGUAAGACGGGUGCCAGCCGCCGCGGUAAUACCUGCAGCCCAAGUGGUGGUCGAUUUUAUUGAGUCUAAAACGUUCGUAGCCGGUUUGGUAAAUCUUUGGGUAAAUCGGGAGGCUCAACUUUCCGACUUCCGAAGAGACUGCCAAACUUGGGAACCGGGAGAGGCUAGAGGUACUUCUGGGGUAGGGGUAAAAUCCUGUAAUCCUAGAAGGACCACCGGUGGCGAAGGCGUCUAGCUAGAACGGAUCCGACGGUGAGGGACGAAGCCCUGGGUCGCAAACGGGAUUAGAUACCCCGGUAGUCCAGGGUGUAAACGCUGCCGACUUGGUGUUGGAGGCCCUUCGGGGGCAUUCAGUGCCGGAGAGAAGUUGUUAAGUCGGCUACUUGGGGAGUACGUCCGCAAGGAUGAAACUUAAAGGAAUUGGCGGGGGAGCAC